CCUACGGGAGGCAGCAGUGAGGAAUAUUCGUCAAUGAGCGGGAGCUUGAACCAGCCAAGUCGCGUGAGGGAUGACGGCCCUAUGGGUUGUAAACCUCUUUUGUCGGGGAGAACAGCGCGGUACGAGUGCCGUGAAGGAGAGUACCCGAAGAAAAAGCCUCGGCUAACUCCGUGCCAGCAGCCACCGUCAUACGGAGGAUGCGAGCGUUAUUCGGAUUUAUUGGGUGUAAGGGGUGCGUAGGCGGAUUUGUAAGUCAGCGGUAAAAAUGCGGUGCUCAACGCCGUAUCGCCGUGGAAACUGCAGAUCUUGAGUGAGCGAGAAGUAUGCGGAAUGCGUGGUGUAGCGGUGAAAUGCAUAGAUAUCACGCAGAACUCCGAUUGCGAAGGCAGCAUACCGGCGCUCAACUGACGCUGAGGCACGAAAGCGUGGGGAUCGAACAGGAUUAGAUACCCUGGUAGUC
rnacentral:rRNA from 1 species